AUGGACAGCGGCGAAGGGACAGUAAUGUGUAGGUACCUACCCCCCGAUCUGGGAUAGCUGCGGGAAACUGCAGGUAAUACCGGAUAAUGUCUUCGGACCAAAGGUGUGAUUCCGUCAGGGGAGGGGCCUGCAUCCUAUUAGCUUGUUGGUGAGGUAAUGGCUCACCAAGGCAACGAUGGGUAGCGGGUGUGAGAGCAUGACCCGCGUCAUUGGGACUGAGACACUGCCCAGACAUCUACGGAUGGCUGCAGUCGAGAAUCUUCGGCAAUGGGCGAAAGCCUGACCGAGCGACGCCGCGUGCGGGAUGAAGGCCCUCGGGUUGUAAACCGCUGUCGUUGGGGAGGAAAUGCAAAAGGGUUAUCCCUUCUGUUUGACCGAUCCAAGGAAGAAGUACGGGCUAAGUUCGUGCCAGCAGCCGCGGUAAGACGAACCGUACGAACGUUAUUCGGAAUUACUGGGCUUAAAGGGUGCGUAGGCUGCACGGAAAGUUGGGUGUGAAAGCCCUCAGCUCAACUGAGGAAUUGCAUCCAAAACUGCCGUGCUAGAGGGAGACAGAGGUGAGCGGAACUCAAGGUGGAGCGGUGAAAUGCGUUGAUAUCUUGAGGAACACCGGUGGCGAAAGCGGCUCACGGGGUCUCUUCUGACGCUGAGGCACGAAAGCUAAGGUAGCAAACGGGAUUAGAUACCCCGGUAGUCUUAGCUGUAAACGAUGAGCACUUGAUUGGAGGGUCCUCCAUAGCCUUCCAGUCGUAGCGAAAGUGUUAAGUGCUCCGCCUGGGGAGUGUGGUCGCAAGGCUGAAACUCAAAGAAAUUGACGGGGGCUCACACAAGCGGUGGAGGAUGUGGCUUAUUUCGAGGCUACGCGAAGAACCUUAUCCUAGUCUUGACAUGUAUGGAUUAACCCUGUGAAAGCAGGGCUACGCCUUCGGUGAACAUACACAGUGCUGCAUGGCUGUCGUCAGC
rnacentral:rRNA from 1 species